rnacentral:lncRNA from 1 species
GGAUGUGGGAUACGUUAUAUGGGAAUGUUGAUGGCACCACCCCUAUGUACCUCCCCGGCACUUGGAUACUUGGAAACAAUGGAUACUUGGAUAUGUCGGAACUCGGGCACCCUUGGCGGGACAGUUUGAGUGCGUAGGACUUAGUUCAGCAGCACGAGUAUUGAGGAUUCUGCUGUGCGUGUUUGCGAGCCUAGUCCCCCGAUUGGACAGCUCAUUCCCUAAUCACAUGGUUAUUGAGGAUUCUUCCGUGUGGUCUAGUCAAAC